rfam:Freshwater sediment metagenome lwFormate_BCIX8182_b1, whole genome shotgun sequence.
CCUGCCAUGCGACUGGCAGUAGCCUAGGGAGACAUGCGUCACUGGUAACGGUGGGGUGUGGAGCUCUCCUGACAAUGUAGCCCCCGCAAGGGUGCUCAGGGACCGUGAGGUCCGUGGGUAGCAGACCGAAGUAGCAUCGGUCGAGGAGC